GCGUAGAGAAAGCUUGCUUUUUCUACAAUCUAGUGGCAAACGGGUGAGUAACGCGUAAACAACCUGCCCUACGGAUGGGGACAACAGCUGGAAACGGCUGCUAAUACCGAAUACGUUCCGAAAGUCGCAUGACUGUCGGAAGAAAGGAUGGCCUCUAUUUAUAAGCUAUCGCCGGAGGAGGGGUUUGCGUCUGAUUAGCUAGUUGGAGGGGUAACGGCCCACCAAGGCGACGAUCAGUAGCCGGUCUGAGAGGAUGAACGGCCACAUUGGAACUGAGACACGGUCCAGACUCCUACGGGAGGCAGCAGUGGGGAAUCUUCCGCAAUGGGCGAAAGCCUGACGGAGCAACGCCGCGUGAGUGAAGACGGCCUUCGGGUUGUAAAGCUCUGUUAUACGGGACGAAUAAUCUUGUGGUUAAUACCCAUGAGAAGUGACGGUACCGUAAGAGGAAGCCACGGCUAACUACGUGCCAGCAGCCGCGGUAAUACGUAGGUGGCAAGCGUUGUCCGGAAUUAUUGGGCGUAAAGGGCGCGCAGGCGGCUUCUUAAGUCUGUCUUAAAAGUGCGGGGCUUAACCCCGUGAUGGGAUGGAAACUGGGAAGCUCAGAGUAUCGGAGAGGAAAGCGGAAUUCCUAGUGUAGCGGUGAAAUGCGUAGCUAUUAGGAGGAACACCAGUGGCGAAAGCGGCUUUCUGGACGAAAACUGACGCUGAGGCGCGAAAGCCAGGGGAGCGAACGGGAUUAGAUACCCCGGUAGUCCUGGCCGUAAACGAUGGGUACUAGGUGUAGGAGGUAUCGACCCCUUCUGUGC
rnacentral:rRNA from 1 species